GAGCCUCCACCCUCCACCCUCCACUCUCAUCUCUCGCACUCAGUUCCCACGCCUCGAGUCUCCACCUUGAGCUUCCGGCGCAACCUCCGUCCAGCCACCGCAGCCGUCGCAAGUUCCGUGGAAGUCACUCACCGUCGCAAGUUCUUUGGAGAUUCGCACAGCCCUUUCCAUCGAGAAGUCAUCCGUGGAAAUCGCAGCCACCGCCACCACUCCUUGUCGUCGCGAGUGUCUUCCUGCUGGCGCCUGCUCUGUUUUACCCUUCCACCCCAGUCACUGUCCCUGUCGCCGCCAGCUCUACAUUCUUCCCUGUCUUCCACUAACCCUAGUUAGUUAGUGAGGACUAUUUCACACAAAAAAAUAUUAGUUGUUGAAGGAUCUCACUGGAAAAUAAAUUUGUGUGGCCAUUCAUUGACACAUUAUUGCACAGAGGAAAAUCUAUUGUUGAAGGAUCUCACAUGUUUGGUUCUUAGGGAAGAAGAUUUUGAAGAAAACAACUUCUUUAUGUGGAUUUGGCUGAAGAAGUUUUCUAAUAUUGUUUAAUUUUGAGUAGUAUUUGAUUGUUGUUAAUUUGAAACUGACUUGAAGCAAUUGUAAGUAUUAUGUUAGCAUCAAUGACAUUGUUUAUAUGUUUAUAUCAUUA